CGUGCACUGGUGGGGUCCCUCAGCCUGGCCUGCGCCCUCUCGCAAUCCAGGACCCCUCAGGGGAUGUCAGAGAGCCAGUUUCCACCCAAUCCCCGCAGGCCAGGCUGAGGGGCUCCACCAGUGCAUG
rnacentral:pre_miRNA from 1 species